rnacentral:miRNA from 1 species
AUGAGGAUGGACUUAGCUUUCG